rnacentral:rRNA from 1 species
AACGAACGCUGGCGGCAUGCCUAACACAUGCAAGUCGAACGAUGCCUCCGGGCAUAGUGGCGCACGGGUGCGUAACGCGUGGGAAUCUGCCCUUGGGUUCGGAAUAACUCGCCGAAAGGCGAGCUAAUACCGGAUGAUGACGUAAGUCCAAAGAUUUAUCGCCCAAGGAUGAGCCCGCGUAGGAUUAGCUAGUUGGUGGGGUAAAGGCCCGCCAAGGCGACGAUCCUUAGCUGGUCUGAGAGGAUGAUCAGCCACACUGGGACUGAGACACGGCCCAGACUCCUACGGGAGGCAGCAGUGGGGAAUAUUGGACAAUGGGCGAAAGCCUGAUCCAGCAAUGCCGCGUGAGUGAUGAAGGCCUUAGGGUUGUAAAGCUCUUUUACCCGGGAUGAUAAUGACAGUACCGGGAGAAUAAGCGCCGGCUAACUCCGUG